rnacentral:rRNA from 1 species
CCCCGGCGAGGGGAGUGAAAAAGAACCUGAAACCGUGUACGUACAAGCAGUGGGAGCACCUUCGGGUGUGACUGCGUACCUUUUGUAUAAUGGGUCAGCGACUUAUAUUCUGUAGCAAGGUUAACCGUAUAGGGGAGCCGCAGGGAAACCGAGUCUUAACUGGGCGUUAAGUUGCAGGGUAUAGACCCGAAACCCGGUGAUCUAGCCAUGGGCAGGUUGAAGGUUGGGUAACACUAACUGGAGGACCGAACCGACUAAUGUUGAAAAAUUAGCGGAUGACUUGUGGCUGGGGGUGAAAGGCCAAUCAAACCGGGAGAUAGCUGGUUCUCCCCGAAAGCUAUUUAGGUAGCGCCUCGUGAACUCAUCUUCGGGGGUAGAGCACUGUUUCGGCUAGGGGGUCAUCCCGACUUACCAACCCGAUGCAAACUACGAAUACCGAAGAAUGUUAUCACGGGAGACACACGGCGGGUGCUAACGUCCGUCGUGAAGAGGGAAACAACCCAGACCGCCAGCUAAGGUCCCAAAGUCAUGGUUAAGUGGGAAACGAUGUGGGAAGGCACAGACAGCCAGGAUGUUGGCUUAGAAGCAGCCAUCAUUUAAAGAAAGCGUAAUAGCUCACUGGUCGAGUCGGCCUGCGCGGAAGAUGUAACGGGGCUAAACCAUGCACCGAAGCUGCGGCAGCGACACUAUGUGUUGUUGGGUAGGGGAGCGUUCUGUAAGCCUGCGAAGGUGUGCUGUGAGGCAUGCUGGAGGUAUCAGAAGUGCGAAUGCUGACAUAAGUAACGAUAAAGCGGGUGAAAAGCCCGCUCGCCGGAAGACCAAGGGUUCCUGUCCAACGUUAAUCGGGGCAGGGUGAGUCGACCCCUAAGGCGAGGCCGAAAGGCGUAGUCGAUGGGAAACAGGUUAAUAUUCCUGUACUUGGUGUUACUGCGAAGGGGGGACGGAGAAGGCUAUGUUAGCCGGGCGACGGUUGUCCCGGUUUAAGCAUGUAGGCUGAUUGUCCAGGCAAAUCCGGAUAAUCAAGGCUGAGGUGUGAUGACGAGGCACUACGGUGCUGAAGUAACAAAUGCCCUGCUUCCAGGAAAAGCCUCUAAGCAUCAGGUAACAUCAAAUCGUACCCCAAACCGACACAGGUGGUCAGGUAGAGAAUACCAAGGCGCUUGAGAGAACUCGGGUGAAGGAACUAGGCAAAAUGGUGCCGUAACUUCGGGAGAAGGCACGCUGGUGUGUAGGUGAAGUCCCUGCGGAUGGAGCUGAGACCAGUCGAAGAUACCAGCUGGCUGCAACUGUUUAUUAAAAACACAGCACUGUGCAAACACGAAAGUGGACGUAUACGGUGUGACGCCUGCCCGGUGCCGGAAGGUUAAUUGAUGGGGUUAUCCGUAAGGAGAAGCUCUUGAUCGAAGCCCCGGUAAACGGCGGCCGUAACUAUAACGGUCCUAAGGUAGCGAAAUUCCUUGUCGGGUAAGUUCCGACCUGCACGAAUGGCGUAAUGAUGGCCAGGCUGUCUCCACCCGAGACUCAGUGAAAUUGAACUCGCUGUGAAGAUGCAGUGUACCCGCGGCAAGACGGAAAGACCCCGUGAACCUUUACUAUAGCUUGACACUGAACAUUGAGCCUUGAUGUGUAGGAUAGGUGGGAGGCUUUGAAGCGUGGACGCCAGUCUGCGUGGAGCCAACCUUGAAAUACCACCCUUUAAUGUUUGAUGUUCUAACGUUGGCCCCU